UUAUUGUCAAUUAUAAUACAGUAGAAUUACAGAAUGCAUAUUUCAUUUUGUUGAGUCAACAGUAACACAAUAUGAAACUGAUACAGGUGUGAUAUAUUUUGUGGGUUUAGCAAAUUUGUCAAGUAUGUUCAAGCAUUUAUUAAAAUUAUUGUUCACACAUACAUUUAAACUUCCGAAUCUACUCUCAUAAUAAAAGUGUGCAUGCUUCACUUAAAUAACAUGCAAUAUAUGUUUAUAGAAACACCAAAGCAAGUGAAGAAAAAUCAACAGAAACUUUACUAGUUUCAACUUAAGUAUUACACAGAUUUCUAAAAAGAUAGUGUAAUUCAUAAGUACAACUAUUUAUGUCUAGGACUUCUCCAAAAAACAUUCAAACAAUUUUUUUUCAAUCUUAAGAAUAGUGCUACAGUAUAAAAAUUAUCAAGAAAGUCUAAAAAUAAGGAUCUCUAUAAGCUAAGAGCAAGUAACAUCAUCUAAAGAGAAUAACUGCAGGUUAUCCCAUCACCUCUGGUAUGUAAAGGACAUAUACUAACAAAAAAGCUGAUGAAAUAAACAUGUAAAGCAGAAAAGGUACAGACUGAAAGUAUACAACUGAGUUGUUGGAAUAAUACAAGCAAUAUGAAAAAAGUAGGAUAUCGCGGAGCAGAAAUAACUGAUAAGAUCAGCAAGCUGCAAAAUAAACACCAAAAUUUUCUCCUAGGAUAGAUGAGUGAAGUGAUGAUAAACAGUCUGAAAUUUUGACAUACUUUAUGUAGAAAAUAUUACAAAAUCAAACUAUGGCCCACUAUAUAGCAGAGAUGCUGAGUCACAGAUAGACACAACAAAAAGACUCAAUUAUAGCUUUUGGCCAUUAAGGCCUUCAUCAACAAUAGACAAUGUUGUUUUAGUUGCCAGAGACUGUGUCGUGUGUGAUUUGCAUUUGCAUGAGUGUUUGUGCGUAUGCAUAUGUGUGUCUACUGUUGACAAAAGCUAUAAUUGUGAGUCAUUUUGUUGUGUCUAUCUGCGACUCAUCAUCUCUGCUAUAUCGUGAGUAGCAACUUUCCUUCUCAUAAUAUUGUUACAUUCCAUCCUGAAUUUUCCAUUGUUCGAUUGUGGCCCAUUAUAGGUAUAAAUGUCUACUUACCAAGUGGAUGCAGAUUGAGAAACUAACUACUGCUUACAGCAGACAUUACUACAGAAAGGUCAUACAGUAUGUCCUGGAUGACACAGCACAGGAUAUUGGUUAAAAAGGUCAUGGGAUGUCAGAAAUAAUUAAUAUCUGAAAACCCGAAACAUUAUUGUGACAGGAGGAGCAGCUGACACACCAAAGAGACAAGAAGAUGCCAACUGGAAUUUAAGUCACUAUGAGACAAAGGAGCAAAUAUGUAAGAAGAAAAAUUGAAGGCAACUAAGCUGCUUCUCCUUUCCACUAUACAGUUUUUGAGUAGAUGUCUAAUUCAUUACUGACAUUCAGUUGUUGGUGUAAGUUGUUCUGAUUAUUCCAUGUUUACCUUGAUGCAAGAUCUUAGGCAUUUUCUUCUACAAUCCUCACAGAGUACAAUUUCCUUCAACUUUUGCCUCUCUUUGACUACAUUUUGCAUGAACUUCUCAUGGCAGGUAUACAUGUUUUCCUGUCUUUAAUAAAGUAAUUUGGAAACUGUAAUGUUCUGGUUGGACCAGUGAUGUUAGAGACUUUCCCAAUAGGUAAAAGUUGUCAGAAUUAGUUUGUGAAGAAACUGGUAGGCCAGUGAGUCAAUCUAA